AUUGAACGCUGGCGGCAUGCCUUACACAUGCAAGUCGAACGGCAGCGCGGGGGCAACCCUGGCGGCGAGUGGCGAACGGGUGAGUAAUGCAUCGGAACGUGCCCAGUAGUGGGGGAUAGCCCGGCGAAAACCGGAUUAAUACCGCAUACGAUCGAGAGAUGAAAGUGGGGGACCGCAAGGCCUCACGCGAUAGGAGCGGCCGAUAUCUGAUUAGCUAGUUGGUGGGGUAAAAGCCCACCAAGGCGACGAUCAGUAGCUGGUCUGAGAGGAUGAUCAGCCACACUGGGACUGAGACACGGCCCAGACUCCUACGGGAGGCAGCAGUGGGGAAUUUUGGACAAUGGGGGCAACCCUGAUCCAGCCAUUCCGCGUGAGUGAAGAAGGCCUUCGGGUUGUAAAGCUCUUUUGUCCGGGAAGAAACGGUUUCACCUAAUACGUGAGACUACUGACGGUACCGGAAGAAUAAGGACCGGCUAACUACGUGCCAGCCGCCGCCGUAAUAC
rnacentral:rRNA from 1 species